UACGGAGGGGGCGAGCGUUAUUCGGAAUUAUUGGGCGUAAAGGGCGCGUAGGCGGCUGUACAAGUCAAAGGUGAAAUCCCUCGGCUCAACUGAGGAACUGCCUUUGAAACUGUACGCUUGAGGCCGGGAGGGGGUAGCGGAAUUCCCAAUGUAGCGGUGAAAUGCGUAGAUAUUGGGAGGAACACCAGUGGCGAAGGCGCUACCUGGACCGGUUCUGACGCUGAGGCGCGAAAGCGUGGGUAGCAACAGG
rnacentral:rRNA from 1 species